rnacentral:rRNA from 1 species
UACGGGGGGAGCAAGCGUUGUUCGGAUUUACUGGGCGUAAAGAGCGCGCAGGCGGUCGGAUAAGUCGAAUGUGAAAGCCCCCGGCUCAACUGGGGAGGGUCAUUCGAUACUGUUCGACUCGAAGGCAGGAGAGGGAAGUGGAAUUCCCGGUGUAGUGGUGAAAUGCGUAGAUAUCGGGAGGAACACCAGUGGCGAAGGCGACUUCCUGGCCUGUUCUUGACGCUGAGGCGCGAAAGCUAGGAGAGCAAACGGG